rnacentral:pre_miRNA from 1 species
UAUGUACUCCCUCCGUUUCAAAAUUCUUGUCUUAGAUUUGUCUAGAUACAGAUGUAUCUAAUACUAAAACGUGACUUGAUACAUCCGUAUUUAGACAAAUUUAAGACAAGAAUUUUGGGACAGAGGGAGUAGUUU